rnacentral:rRNA from 1 species
AUUGAACGCUGGCGGCAGGCUUAACACAUGCAAGUCGAGCGGAGAUGAGGUGCUUGCACCUUAUCUUAGCGGCGGACGGGUGAGUAAUGCUUAGGAAUCUGCCUAUUAGUGGGGGACAACAUUCCGAAAGGAAUGCUAAUACCGCAUACGUCCUACGGGAGAAAGCAGGGGAUCUUCGGACCUUGCGCUAAUAGAUGAGCCUAAGUCGGAUUAGCUAGUUGGUGGGGUAAAGGCCUACCAAGGCGACGCUCUGUAGCGGGUCUGAGAGGAUGAUCCGCCACACUGGGACUGAAACACGGCCCAGACUCCUACGGGAGGCAGCAGUGUGGAAUAUUGGACAAUGGGGGGAACCCUGAUCCAGCCAUGCCGCGUGUGUGAAGAAGGCCUUAUGGUUGUAAAGCACUUUAAGCGAGGAGGAGGCUACUGAGACUAAUACUCUUGGAUAGUGGACGUUACUCGCAGAAUAAGCACCGGCUAACUCUGUGCCAGCCGCCGCGGUAAGAC